AUCAUAUCUCCUCGACUGAAUGACUGCUUAUCAGGCUACACACUUGUGUCACAGAUAUAGUUUGGCACGCCGCUAUAAGAGACUAGCUAUCCCGAUUGGGGGUGUCCGGCUCUCCCGAGGAGGAGGUCAAACCCCCCGCGUGGACAGAUUUCUAGACGCCCCCGCCGUACGUCGCGUGGAAUCGUAUUGUAUUUCCUCAAUUCCUCCUCUAUGACUAGUCUGUCUGAUGAGGCAGCCAAGCUUUCUUUAAAAGUUUAAUGCCGCCAUACCAAUCAACUCCGACUUCCACCAGAUCAGAAGAUUCGUGUGUUUCGCGGGCGCGGCCGGGCUAGAGCCCCGGGGCCUGAAGCGCCGCGAAGCAACUAAGUACGUAAACACGGGUGGAGUUGGUCCUAGGAACCCUACACUCGUAAUGAUCUUCCCGUAGGGGUGACCUGCGGAAGGAUCAUUACCGAGUGUAGGGUUCCUAGCGAGCCCAACCUCCCACCCGUGUUUACUGUACCUUAGUUGCUUCGGCGGGCCCGCCAUUCAUGGCCGCCGGGGGCUCUCAGCCCCGGGCCCGCGCCCGCCGGAGACACCACGAACUCUGUCUGAUCUAGUGAAGUCUGAGUUGAUUGUAUCGCAAUCAGUUAAAACUUUCAACAAUGGAUCUCUUGGUUCCGGCAUCGAUGAAGAACGCAGCGAAAUGCGAUAACUAGUGUGAAUUGCAGAAUUCCGUGAAUCAUCGAGUCUUUGAACGCACAUUGCGCCCCCUGGUAUUCCGGGGGGCAUGCCUGUCCGAGCGUCAUUGCUGCCCAUCAAGCACGGCUUGUGUGUUGGGUCGUCGUCCCCUCUCCGGGGGGGACGGGCCCCAAAGGCAGCGGCGGCACCGCGUCCGAUCCUCGAGCGUAUGGGGCUUUGUCACCCGCUCUGUAGGCCCGGCCGGCGCUUGCCGAACGCAAAUCAAUCUUUUCCAGGUUGACCUCGGAUCAGGUAGGGAUACCCGCUGAACUUAAGCAUAUCAAUAAGCGGAGGAA
rnacentral:rRNA from 1 species